GUGUAUGGCAGUGGUCAGAUAGGUUGCUUCAGCCCUGCUAGCUGGAGCAGCCUCCUGUGUAUUUUACCAUCUACCAGUGGGGGCCUCCCUUCUGGUCAUAAAACCUUUGUUACACGGUGUUAUCUAGGUGUGUGUGGGGUUUCUGUAUCAUUGCAGCUUAUGGUCCGGGUCCCUGUGUGAUGUCUGUGUGUGCUGUCAUUGUUGGUGUCCUGAACUAACAGCACCUGCACAUGGGUUCCUGGUU